GACGAAGGGGGCUAGCGUUGCUCGGAAUCACUGGGCGUAAAGCGCACGUAGGCGGACUCUUAAGUCAGGGGUGAAAUCCUGGAGCUCAACUCCAGAACUGCCUUUGAUACUGGGAGUCUUGAGUUCGGGAGAGGUGAGUGGAACUGCGAGUGUAGAGGUGAAAUUCGUAGAUAUUCGCAAGAACACCAGUGGCGAAGGCGGCUCACUGGCCCGAUACUGACGCUGAGGUGCGAAAGCGUGGGGAGCAAACAGG
rnacentral:rRNA from 1 species